GACGUAGGGCGCGAGCGUUGUCCGGAUUUCUUGGGCGUAAAGCGCUCGUAGGCGGCUUGUCGCGUCGUCCGUGAAAACUCACAGCUCAACUGUGAGCUUGCGGUCGAUACGGGCAGGCUAGAGUUCGGUAGGGGAGACUGGAAUUCCCGGUGUAGCGGUGAAAUGCGCAGAUAUCGGGAAGAACACCCGUGGCGAAGGCGGCUCUCUGGGACGGUACCGACGCUGAGACGCGAAAGCGUGGGGAGCGAACAGG
rnacentral:rRNA from 1 species